GCACCCGUAGCUCAGUUGGAUUAGAGCGUAACCCUCCGAAGGUUAAGGUCGCAUGUUCGAUCCAUGUCGGGUGCACCA
rnacentral:tRNA from 1 species